rnacentral:rRNA from 1 species
UACGGAGGGUGCGAGCGUUAAUCGGAAUUACUGGGCGUAAAGCGUGCGCAGGCGGUUCGCUGUGUCCGAUGUGAAAGCCCCGGGCUUAACCUGGGAAUGGCAUUGGAAACUGGCGGGCUUGAGUGCGGCAGAGGGGGGUGGAAUUCCGCGUGUAGCAGUGAAAUGCGUAGAGAUGCGGAGGAACACCGAUGGCGAAGGCAGCCCCCUGGGUCGACACUGACGCUCAGGCACGAAAGCGUGGGGAGCAAACAGG